UCACUUGGACUAUUCCGUAGCACCCCUCUCACAGUGGUACAUCCCUCCAGGUAACCAUUCAUAAGUCUUGUACAGUAGAGCGGGAAAUUACAUUUCAGCUCAGCGGAUUUGACCGGUGAAGGCGUAGCAUGCACCACGAUUAGUAUAAGGUAAGGGUGAAUGAAUUUUCUUCUAUUCGUUAUUUUGACGGUCGCGUUUGAAUAAAAGUAAAAAACUCGUUAAUGUACAGUUUCGGAUAAAAUUUGGGAGCCUGAAAUGUUGUGUCUACUUUCAGCUUAUAGUCCUGCAACAAAUAAAUUGCACCGAGAACACAAUCUAUCAACAAAGAAAACAUUUUCGUUUCAUAAAAUACUGUCUUUCCAUUAUAAAGCUAGCAUAACGCUUCGUGGGUUCCUUUGUUAGCCUUGCAGUCGCCUCGCCCACCGUCAACCCAGACUGUCGCUCUAUGGUUGCUUUUUUCCAUAGUACUAAAAAAAAUUGUUAAUCUCUGCAAUAUGAUUGGUAAACGUAAAGGUAACUCUAUAAAUGUGUACAAUGACUUUGUUACUUUUGAUGAUUGGAGAGCGCUCGCUUCAAUUCGCACACUUCAAUUCACACAAAGAAGACUUUCGACUCAGUUGAAUGCUCACGCGGCAUGUCCACGUGACUUUCCGUUGCACGCACACAUGACUUUCCGUUUGUGCCUUGAAUAAUGAAUAAGUCACUUACCUGUAAUGUAUCUCGGCUAUCAUGUUUUUCCUCUUUUUAUUGACAUUGUGCCCCUUUUUUUCUCUUUUCAGAUCAGAUUUGUUAACUACCAUCCAUCCAUAAACAAAUAUACACUGAAAAUGGCAUCACGCUGGUCAAGGAGGCGCAAAUUAAGGUCAAUGGUUGAGGCCGCACAGUCAGAUAUACUCCGGCACUUUGAAGAGAUGGUUGGCGAACUAAAUAUCCAAAGCGACAAUGCACAGGUUGAAGUUAAGCGACCGCGGGUGGCAGAAGAGUCUGGUGUGUCCCACUGUUGUCACCCAGGCAUAGACAGACCAAAUCCCCUGUACACUUAUGCAGACUCUGAGGAUGAGCAGCCUCAAAAAAAACGGUUUCCCCAGGCCCCUCGAGUGAAAAUACCAGCCCCCGCCACUCCGCAGUCUGCCCCCCAGCGGACUGAUAGCAACCAUCAUAAUACCCCGCCCAGCUUCCGGCACCUUUCGCCACUCCGGCACAACACACAAGCCGACACAGCUUUGCGAUCUCCCCAGCAUGUAGAGUCUGAUGUCAAUGCCGUCGCUAGAGAUGAUUCCAGAGUCUCUGUGAGGCCACUAUUACAAGAUGCGACCUUACAUAAGAUUUUAACGAUGGUGUCAGACCUGACCAGAGCAGUUCACGAUCUCCGUGAGGAGGUCAGAGCCAUCCGCCAUCCCUGCAGCAAUGAAUCUGUAGAUGCUGGGGUAUUGCCUCUGGAUUUGCCCUUGCACAACAUGGAGGAGCUAAACAAUGCAGAGGCAGCUCUGCAAUCACCAGAGGCAAAUAAGGCAAUGGUGAGACGCUUUGCGUUGAUUGGAGGGACCACACUGGAGGUGCGAGUCCGCCGUGUAAUGGCUUAUGCCAUUACAAACGAGCUGGCCUCUGAACUCAACUGGGCGGGGAAAAAAACCAAGGACCAGACAAAGCAAAAAAGGGCAUUUAAAGAGACAGUGCUGUGCAAAUGCAUAUUUGAUGGCCUGACGCAGCAGGUAGGGGCGAACUCUAUGUCUGAGUUUGUCUUUGCUCAAGCAGUCCAGAAAUGGCUCAGAUACGCUCCAGAUCGUAUGGGUGGUGCAGGACGCCCAACAUCCAUCCCCAUCCUGGAGUAAAUACCAAAAAGUGACGUGAAACAAAGAAAUGUAAAAAGGAAACUUUGUCGUUUAAUAAAGUAUUUUGCAAAUGAUACAUGUCUAGUGACCUUUUUUUGUUGUUUCUUUUUCUCUGUUGCAUGAGGUCCGAUGCUUUAUGUUUUUGGGAUAUUACUAUUGACAUGAUACAUUGUAAGAUAAUUUUUAACAUAUAAAGGGUGUCCAAUUUGUGGAAGAAGGACAAUUAUCUGUUUCGGUGGUUUAAGUAUUGAUGGAA
ensembl:lncRNA